rnacentral:rRNA from 1 species
UACGGAGGGGGGCUAGCGUUGUUCGGAAUUACUGGGCGUAAAGCGCACGUAGGCGGCUUUGUAAGUUAGAGGUGAAAGCCCGGGGCUCAACUCCGGAAUUGCCUUUAAGACUGCAUCCGCUAGAAUUGUGGGAGAGGUAAGUGGAAUUCCGAGUGUAGAGGUGAAAUUCGUAGAUAUUCGGAAGAACACCAGUGGCGAAGGCGACUUACUGGACACAUAUUGACGCUGAGGUGCGAA